rnacentral:rRNA from 1 species
CCCAGACUCCUACGGGAGGCAGCAGUGGGGGAUAUUGCACAAUGGGGGGAACCCUGAUGCAGCGACGCCGCGUGGGUGAAGGAGCGUUUCGGCGCGUAAAGCCCUAUCGGCAGGGAAGAAGGAGGACGGUACCUGACUAAGAAGCCCCGGCUAACUACGUGCCAGCAGCCGCGGUAAUACGUAGGGGGCAAGCGUUAUCCGGAUUUACUGGGUGUAAAGGGGGCGCAGACGGCAGCGCAAGCCAGGAGUGAAAGCCCGGGGCCCAACCCCGGGACUGCUCUUGGAACUGCGCGGCUGGAGUGCAGGAGGGGCAGGCGGAAUUCCUGGUGUAGCGGUGAAAUGCGUAGAUAUCAGGAGGAACACCGGUGGCGAAGGCGGCCUGCUGGACUGCGACUGACGUUGAGGCCCGAAAGCGUGGGGAGCAAACAGGAUUAGAUACCCGCGUACC